AUGAAGCUGAUGGCAGUAGUACUGUUCCAUGUUAAAGCACUGCAGUCUUGCAGAACAUUGGUGAAUGCAUAGCGUGGAGAAGUGCAAACAUAAGUUCAACAGACACUAGAAGUUAACUCCAUAUCAUUUUAGGGGAGUAAAAUGACCUCCAUGCAUCCUGUCUUUCUUUUAUUCCGAGUUCUGGCUUCAGAUGCCCCUUUGUUCUAAUGUAACUAUAACUCAGGGGUCAGCAACCUACGGCACACGUGCUAAAGGUGGCACGCGAGCCAAUUUUUGAUGGCACGCGGGGUGGGCUGAGCCGCUCAGUCCACUGCCAUUCUGGGGUUCCUGCUGCUGGCCCCUUGACAGCCGGGGUCCCACCGCUGGUCCCACUCAGCACCUGCUGCUGGCUUUGGGGAAGGAACCCCAGGCUGGCAGUGGGCUGAGACCCCGGCUGGCAGGAGCCAGCGGCUGAAACCACAGAGUAGGGGCAGGCGGAGAUGCUCAGCCCACCCCCGAAACCCCAGAGCUGGGUGGGCUGACCCGCUCAGCCCACUGCCACUCUGGGGUUCCGGCUGCUGGCCCCUUGCCAGCUGGGGUCCCUGCCGCAGCCCCACUCACCUUGCUUCUGGUUGGAGUUUCAGCGCAGGCCCCCUGCCAGACAGGGUCUAGGCCUCUGGCCCUACUCAGCCCUACCAGCCGCCAGCUUCACUCACCUCAACUGCCUGUCUGGGGUUCCAGCCACUUAACAACUGAUCACUCAGAAGCCUGUGUGCAGCUUAAAGUAUCCAAGUACGUGCCACCAGCCAUUGGAAAACUCAGCAAGGAAAAGCAAGGGCAAGGAUCACACUAAACUAAUAAGAUCUGCCUUUUAAUUUAAUUUUAAAUGAAGCUUCUGAAACAUAUGAAAACCUUGUUUACUUUACAUAUAACAGUAGUUUGGUUAUAUAUUAUAGACUUGUAGAGAGACCUUCUAAAAAACAUUAAAAUGUUUUACCGGCAUGCGAAGCCUUAAAUUAGAGUGUAUACAUGAAGUCUCGGCACGCCACUGCUGAAAGGUUACCGACCCCUGCUAUAAAUAUUACUGUUUUCUAAUGAUUCUCCUGUUUUAUGUCCCUUUCUAUUUUUGAGUGCUCUGGAAGCUUCUGGAAGCUUCAUCUAAUGUUGUUGUGUACAGUGCUUAGGGUAACACAGUGGUGCUCCGAUCCCUGACUGGGACCUCCUAGGCACUACCUCACAGUACAAAAGUUAUGGAAAUAAAAGUAUUAAAUAAGAAUGAUACCAGUAGAAAUACCAAUAAUAAAUGUAAUAAUACUAAUAGUGAAAACAGAAAAAAUGGAACUUAGGGUCCUCUGUGCCAUAAUAUUUUGACAUAAUAUAAUAGGUGCUGCCACCUGCUAUUCAUGCAUUGUGAGCAACUAACUCAACAGUUCCAGUCAGGUAUCUCUGAUACAAUUAACUGGUAAAUAUUCUUGUUCUAAUUGCUAGCACUGUUUCUGUGGCCUCUACUAUCAGAGCCAGACUUGGGAAAUGUAAUCACUACAUAUGUCCAUAUUUUGUUGUUUUCUGACACUUUUCUACAUUUUAAAACAUUUACUGUGCAUCUCAGCUACUUCAAACUAGCAGUGUGCGCUGCUGUACACACAUGCUAAUAAUCCCUCUUACAAACAAAUCACAUUCCUUGCUUAUAAUAUCCUUCCCAGAUAGAGUUUAACAUUAUCCAUUUUAUUAUUAUGAAAUAAGUAUGAUUUUAGGCUUGUAAAUAUUUUCUUGGAUUUUAUGACCACUUUUAGAGCCACGCAACAGAAAUAUUCAGUGAAUUUCUGUGACUCCUGGCCUGAAUCUUUUUUACAAACUGACUAAUUUUAUCCUUUUGGAUAGUCAAAUGAAGGAAUACAAUCCUUGGGAUUAUAAUCGUGUUUAAAAAUAUUUAAUAUUACCUUUAAUUCUAAUGUCUAGACAGUACUGCUGCACACUGCUGAAAUAUCUGUUACAAAGCCACAAAUGAAUAAUUUGACUGCUUUUUGGGUGAGAUGUGCAUAAAAGAUAUUAAGUGGCAUUUGGACAUUUCUGCAAAAAAAACCCAAAAUACUGUAUCUGCAAGGAGCAUUGAUUGAAGUCUCAUACUAGUAGAGAAGGAAUGAGAAAAAACACAAUAUUUUACACAGGUCUACACUUUGUGCAGGCAUAUGGAGAAGAAGAGCAACAACUGUCAAAGGUCCAUGAUAAACCAGAGGGUACAGAGCAAAUGCUAUCCAGGACUAUCUUACUAACAUUAAUUGAUUAAAUUUAGCUAUCUCAACCUUCUGAUUAUAAGACCAUAAGAGAGUGUACUUACUCAUUGCAUACCAUUGUUAUUGAUAGCAAACAACUACUCCGUCUUCACACAUGCACACACUUUUGUUAGGAGCAGACGUAGUUUAGGAAUAUCCAAACAUAUGAGAUUCUCAUUCAUUUAGAUUAUCACAUAAAUAGUCCAAUAGUUGGUUCAAUAAGAUAUUACCUCACCCACCUUAUAUCUCUAAUAUCCUGGGACCAACACAGCUACACCACUGCAUACAUAAGUACUCACAGAUAUGUAAAUAUCUACCAUUGGGUUUGGUUCUUGGCUAUGUGCAUUAUUUGUCAUGCCAGCUGAGGUACAAGAAGGAAUAUCAUCAGUCUCCUCUUACUCUUUGUUUCCCAGGUAACUAAUCAUUGAUAUUUAAUGGUUCUUUUAAAAGAGGAAUGUCAUCUUGGACCUCUCUAUAACGGCUUCCUAUGACGUGCUUGUGAAUGUUACCUUAACAGUGAGUGAAGUGUUUGAGACACUGGAUCAUUUUCAGAAUGAUAGAUUCUUUAGCUAGAACAGUAAGCAAUUUAAUAAGCAUGGGAGAACCACAGCAAAUGUUAAUUCAUCAGAUUGAUAAGUAUAUUUACUUUUCAGUCACUGAAAAUCAACUAAAAGAAAAGAGAAGUUUCUAUGCCCUGGCUCAAUCAAAUAGCUAUCAGAUGUGCACAUAAAUGAAUGGUAGCAUGAGCGUCUUCAUUUAGUGAGGUCUAUGGUAAUAGUAAAGAAUAUAACAUCAUUUAUAUAUAUGCUUUCUCUGAUCCAGCCAGGAUUAUUGUAUUUAGCAUGUCCAGGUAAUAUAGGACCUUACCACACACAUUUAUUUUGCAAAUACCCAGCUAAACCAGCUACUCUGAACUUCUUGAUCCAGCAGAGUUGAUUGGUAACAGCAGAUAGUCCUUAACUUCCAGUCUGACAUAUACUUCUCUCUUUUUCCCUAUUUCCCUGUAAGUAUGUUGAAGAAAUGAAACAUGCACAACAUUAAAUGAUUCACAGGCAGCAGCAUUAGUAUUGUGCAGAUAUAACUGUAGUGCUUGUAAAGAUCUGGUGAACCUGUGAUUUGAAGCAAAGACAGCAAAUAUGAAGUACAAGCUGUUUUGUCACACAAAGUAGAAACCCCUGAGGGAAGAAAUAGCAGAAUAGCUACAGAAUAGCAGAUCAACAAUAAGUCAAAAGACUAUAAUAGAAUUAUGCAACAAAAAAAUGUUGUAAGGGAAGAAAAGCAUGAGAUUCACUAAAGAAGGAAUGUUUAGAUCUGUAUUUCAUGUUUUUCAAACUGUGAAUAAGGUAGAAUGAGUAAAAUGCUGAGUCUGACUAUCACAAUACUCCCCUGUAUGAAGAGGUAUACAUGAUGAAAGACAUCCUUUAGUUUUGGAGUCUGAAGAAUCUUUGAAAAGCUGGGUUAUUCUUCCAUAUGUCAAAUAAGGUUUUGAUAAUUUGUUCCAUUUUGUUAUGCAUUGCUAGCUUUUUUCCAUUUUAGGUUUCAUAUGCCUGGUUUCACUGUGCCAUUCUGUUAUCUUUUUAUUGACUUUUUAUUCUACUUUUUCUUCCAGGUCUAUUCUGUCUAACUUAAAAUGCAGAAUUUUCACCAGAAUUCCUUUUUUCAUUAAUUAAUUGCAAGUAUUUAGAGUGUGUGCAGUAAUAAGACUUCUCAUGUAUAGCUGUUUUUCAUAGUAUACAUAAGAACUGAGCUGUGCUUAGUAGUGAGAAAAACAUUUCUAUUAUUUCCUCUCACUUUCUAUAAGCUGUAAUAGUGUAUCUUUCAUUAGCUGUUGUAGUUGGAUGUUCAUGCUGUUCGAAUUUGGUUAGCAGAAGUUUAAUGAGCAGAGUGAUUUUCCCCAAGUAGAAUGGAUGAUACAUUCUGGGCAAAUUGCCUAUGCAAAGCAUAUCUUUGUGCUGUCCCUAAUUACUGACUGCAACCCUACAUUAAGAUUCUUAAUUUAACCUUCCCCAGCCUGGCACUCAAGUUGUUCCACUUCUUGUUGCUGUAAUUUCUUAGCCUUACAGCUGUGCAGUUAUGAAUUUUUAAAGCUCCAUUCCCCAAUAUCUUGUUCAGAACUCUUCAUAAAAAGAUGAACAGUUGUUUCACCUACAAUGCUAGCUUUCUAUUUUGGUAUUUUUUUUCUUACAAGUAAUUCGUUACAACAUUUAGUCAUAUGUAAACUGUGAAGUAAAUGGAGGUUUUCAGUAAAACAGCGUUAGUCUUGUAUUUAAUUGUUGGCUUUUGACAAAAAUGUAAAUAUGCUAUAGUCAUUUGUACCUGUAUAAAUGAAUAGAAAUCAGGGAUUCUGAUAAAUUUGGUUUUAAAAUGUAACUUCUACUGGCUGUUGGAUUUAAGGAAAUUGUUCCUUGUGUUCAUAUGAUAGCAAGAUGCCUUUCCCAUGAAUGAAAUGCAGCUAUGUGUUGAUAAACUGUAUUUAAAUGAAAACUUGUCUCUAUAGCCAGUUUGUAAUGAUUCUAAUCAUUAACCCAGCCAUCUAAGAGUAGGGAAACUGUCUCCUGUCAAUAUAGUUAUUAGGGAAAGAGUGGUUGAUUGGGAAAAUAACCUCUACUGUCAACAUGGGUGAGCUUUUCUUUAGUGAUUCCCUAGCCUUCUGUUGAACGCCCCAUUGAAAUUUCUCUGUUCCUCUUACAAUCAUUUGUUUGUAUUAUAGAAUCCUGCAUCUAUAUGGUAGGUCAAGUUCAGACUUUGGGCUUGUCUCCACCUACCAGGGGAUCGACGCACAGUGAUCAAUCCAUCGGGGGUCGAUUUACUGGAUCUCAUGAAGACCCACUAAAUCGACCACUGAUUGCUCUCUCGUUGACUCCGGUACUCCACCGGAAUGAGAGGCAUAAGGUAAGUUAACAGGAGACUCAGCUCAAUGUAGGCACCACAGUAAGUCGACCUAAGGUACGUUGACUUGAGCUCCAUUAUUCACAGAGCUGGAGUUGCGUAACUUAUGUCGCCGCAGCCCUGUAGUGUAGACCUGCCUUUUUCAUAAGUAAGUACAACCAAGACUGAAUUUGGCCCUGAAUCUUUUCUGCAAGAUGUUUCGCAGCACUAGGUUCAAAUUAGAUAUUACAAUGUUUGACUUCACACAUUGAACAUCAUGAUUCUACACAGUAACUAAGAAUGUUACUUCAGUUAUAAUUCAACCUUGGGAUGAAAUGAAAAUGUCAGUGUAUUGUACCAGCAAGCCAUUUAUCAGCAAAAGCAACCUCUACUAAAUCUCAGUUUUUACUAUAAUAAAAAAAAUCUGGUUAAAAAACCCUAAGCUUUAAAAGCCAUUCAUCCUGAUUAAGUUUAAUAUAGUUGACACGAGAUUUGAAAGAGUUAGCUUGUUGACGAUGUACACUUAGAAUGUAAAAGUAGCUGAUAUUUCAUAGAUAAUGAAAUAAUAAGAAAUUAUUAAAUGAAACCUAAGAUACUGGAUGCACGUCCCAAGGAAUGGAGUGGAAACUGGCCAAAAAUUGUUAAAACUAAUGAAAACAAGCAUCAAAUACACAAUUGUUUUGUUGCAGAAAAUAGCCAGACCCUCAAAAAUUGUUCACAUGUUCAAAACUGCAUCUGAACCAAUACUGUUAACAUGUCUACUUGUAUCACAUCAUGGGAAAGCACUAAUAAGAGUGACAUCACCAUUGUCCGUCCUUUGGGCUAUAUCAUUUAUUUAUUUAUUUAUUUAUUUCCUCUCACUAAUUUUCCAGCAAGUGAACAGUAAUUAUCACAGACACAGCACAUAGUAAGCAAUCUUUAUUAGCCAGAAUCAAGUAUUCAAGUUUUGUGUUUUUGAGAUUGCCUUUUUGGUCACGGAUGUGUUGCCAAAAACAAAUAUGUCCUGGCUGACUAAAUUGGAUUCUUCUUUUAAAAAAAAGAAAAACAUUCUAAUAAAAGAGGUAGGAGGAACAGGAUAGGAUAGAAAAUUAAUAUACUUCAGAGGAAUACAAUAAAUUUUAGAUGUACAUCCCAGGAGUUGUUGAGGACACAGCUAUGGAAAAUGUGGUAUUAUUGGGCUCCUUCUCCUCGUUUAGUCUGGUCAGAACAAUUUUCAAGAUGUGGAAAAUAGAAUCCUGAUGGUAUGAUGGUAAAUCUGUCAAUCUAAGAUCUAUAUGGGCCCCAUCACCAUAGUAUCUGAGUGCUUCACAGUCUUUUCAUGUGUUCAGCCUUGUGCAUCCCCUGUCAUGUAGGGAAGUACUUUUAUCCCCAUUUUGCAGAUGGGGAGCUGAGGCACAAAGUAUUGUCCUGGGUGGUCACACAGGAAGUCUCCUAGAGCAGGGAAUUGAACUCUGGUUUCUCAAGUCCUAGGCUAGUGUCCUAACCACUGGAUGAGAUUUGAUCUCAGGUCCCAGUCGGCAACCAGCAUGAGAGUUGUAAUAGCUAAUGUUCCCUGUAUGUAUAGGCUCACUGCCUUGCAUUUUUAUUAUCCUCAUGCAUAAGCUAGUUCUCAAGUGCUCCCCAGAAAUGUAAUGGCCAAGAAGAGGUGGAAAUUGUGUUCCAUCAAAACAAUUAUCUACUGAUCCCAUAUAGACAUAUUUCCUUCCAUCUUAACUUUGUGUUGCUAAAACAAUUCUGUAACCUUAUUUGAAACUUUGAAAACCCUCAUUGGUUCUUUCAUUUUAAAUGCACUGGUCAUUUUGGCUCUGAUCCAUAAUUUCAUAAACAAUUUUAUCUGGUGUGUUCAUAUAGGUUGAGAUGAAGUUUUAUGCACCUUUCACCUACUAUUUUGGGUUUAGCAAGGAGUCCCACAAACCUAGCAAGGCCCAAAUUGGUGUGGCAUCUCUUUUCGUUACUAAGAAAAAGAAGCAGUAAAAAAGAGCAGAAUUCAUAUAAGGCGUGGGUGGAUGAUGGGAAGGAUUAACGUUUUGUUUUUCCAAUACUGAUUACGCUAACACCUAUUGUGAAAUGUGCCUGUCUAUGCAUGCAUCUUCUACAUAUAACUAUGCUAAUGAACACAUGCAGCUAGCGAGAACUAGUUGACUACAGGAAACAAGAGGCAGGAAAUGCAGGUCAAUUGACCUUAGGAUCCCACAGUAUCCCUGGAACUCCUGAGUGGGUCUCUAAGGGUGUGCUAAUGAGAACAGAAGUGAACCGUAUAAAGAGGAAUCUUGAUUUCAUGCACGUUAAGUAGGUUUUAUCAAACAUAAGGUUACAGUGUUAAUAUAACAGAAAUUGCAGCGAGAAAAUGAAGUCUCCAAAAAGUGAAGAAAGAUGUUUUCUCAGUCAGUUAGUUAUUGUAACGUCAGGAAAUUGUUUGUAAAGGCCUCCAUAAUUAUUGACGUUCCAUUGCACAGGGCCCUGUACAAACACAGAGUUUCUUGUCAUGAAGAGCUUACAAUCUAAAUAAUCAAUCAAAAAGAAAUACUACCAUUUCUGGUAGACAUUUUCACUUUAUAAUGGCACAGAGAAGUGAGACACUUUUAAAAAUGUGUAUACAUUAUUUUUUCUAAUAGUUAAACCCACCUUUGAUAUAUUACACUAUCUUUAACUUUAAUGGAAUCUUUCAUACAAUGUAUAUCCUCAAACACUUUAACACUUUGCAGAAAUAAAAAAUGAGAUAACAGACAAUAUCUGAGUUUACGUAAGGAAAACAGGGAAGGGAAGGCAUUGUGUAAUAUGUAUAGUCAUAAAAAGAAUAACAAAAAAUAGUAUAUAAAGAAGGGAGAUAAUCAUAAGCAGAGGUUAGUGGAUCAGGUUUGAAUUGAAUUGGAGCGUUAGUAAGGCAGGAAGACACAGAAGGGCUGUUCCAGAUGGCAGGAGCUGGAACGGGAAAGAUAUUCCCAUACUGACUAGUUUCUGAGGAGGGGGGCAUAAGAUGAGGAGAAGAAAUGGGGAGGAGAGUAGUAAAAGAUGAUACAAAGUAGGUUGAAACAAAUUCAUGGAGAUCAUUUUUUAAAAAGAGGCAGAUAUCAAAUCCUCAGCUGGUAUAAAUUGGUAUCACUUCAUUUAUAUCAAUGGAUAUAUGCCAAUUUGUACCAGCUGCGGCUCUGUGCCAAAGAUUCAUAGAUGAUUCAAAGAUUCACAGGUUGUAUAACCAGAAAGAACCACUGUGAUCAGCUAGUCUGGCUGAAUGGUAAUUCUCAGCUUCUGAAUGAGAAACAAAUGGAGAUGUUUGUGGCUAGCAGUGAUCAGGCAGUGCUUCUUGAUAUUUAUGAGAAGACCAUGAGGCUGCAGCUUUCUGCACACACAGGAGUCUUGAAAAGCUAGGAUUUGGGGAAGUCCUAGGAGAGGGAGUUGUUAUAAUUAAGAUGUGAGAGGAUGACAGCAUGGAUGAGAAUUUUAGCAGAGGUGGAAGGAAAGUUAAGAUGAACAUGUCAACAUACAACUUCAAGUCCAGCAGAGAAAUCAUUACAGGUGUCAAAAGGUAUGUACAUGAGGUGAAGAGCUGUUUUGACUGUUUUUAGAACUUGAUGAUCAAGCCAUUCAUGAAACAAUUCCAUAUGGAAGUGCAGAUGGACAAAUGCAUUUAACAGGUAAGUGUAAUGCUGUUUUUAUUUGUUGUUUUCCUCAGGGUUCUCCUGCAUAAACAUCCAUUCCUAUUACCAUCCGAGGGAAUGGAAAAGAUAAAGGAGGAAAUACCAGUCCCUUCAAGAAAGAAAGUAAAGAUGAGGGAUGGGAAAACAAGGUUAAAGAGACAGGGCGGGGAAUACGUAAGGGGACACUGUUAAAAAUUUUAAUUUAAGUAUUUUAUGUAUUUUUGUUAAUGUGAAAAAAAUUGUUUAAAUUUGUUAUUGAAUGCUUUAUGGCUUGUAUGACUUCCCAAUGUUUGUUUGUUUAUUUCAUUCUUGGUGCUCUGUGUGGUUUUUGUACUACUGGAGUGAUUUUAUGUUCAUAUGACUGCAUGUAAAGAAAUCUUACCAGUAUAUUUGUUAUUAUGUUAAAUGUGAACUGUAUUGUAUGUAGGACUGAGACCACAAGUCUUCUUUUUGGGGGACCAUGUGUAGAGAGCUUUUCAGAUGUUGAUUCUUCAUCUGUUGUAUAAUUAUAAAAAAUGAAGUUGUUUGAAGUGUUCAUGUGUAAAUCAGGUAAAAAAAUAAAUGCUUUCCCGUAA